GACGACGUUGAUAGGCCGGGUGUGUAAGCGCAGCGAUGCGUUGAGCUAACCGGUACUAAUGAACCGUGAGGCUUAACCUUACAACGCCGAAG
rnacentral:rRNA from 13 species